rnacentral:rRNA from 1 species
GACGAACGCUGACGGCGUGCCUAAUACAUGCAAGUAGAACGCUGAAGAGAGGAGCUUGCUCUUCUUGGAUGAGUUGCGAACGGGUGAGUAACGCGUAGGUAACCUGCCUUGUAGCGGGGGAUAACUAUUGGAAACGAUAGCUAAUACCGCAUAACAAUGGAUGACACAUGUCAUUUAUUUGAAAGGGGCAAUUGCUCCACUACAAGAUGGACCUGCGUUGUAUUAGCUAGUAGGUGAGGUAACGGCUCACCUAGGCGACGAUACAUAGCCGACCUGAGAGGGUGAUCGGCCACACUGGGACUGAGACACGGCCCAGACUCCUACGGGAGGCAGCAGUAGGGAAUCUUCGGCAAUGGGGGCGACCCUGACCGAGCAACGCCGCGUGAGUGAAGAAGGUUUUCGGAUCGUAAAGCUCUGUUGUAAGUCAAGAACGAGUGUGAGAGUGGAAAGUUCACACUGUGACGGUAGCUUACCAGAAAGGGACGGCUAACUACGUG